rnacentral:lncRNA from 12 species
UGUCAGUGUUCUGGUGACAUUUGUGUGCUCCAUUGACCUGCAGGAUGCCAGGAGAGUGGAAGCAGUGUCCUUCCCCAGGGAGAUGAAAUGUCCAUUUGUUGUACUCCCAGGUUCCCAGCUCUCAAAGUUGGGCUAAUCCAGAGGCAAUACCAGAGGGCUUUAUCUGGCACUCCUUGUAAAGAAGGAUUUGUCAAAGAUAGUACAGUAAUUUCACCAGAAAUUACAUUUAAGCCCCUUCUUGGAAGUCUUUUCUUUCUCUGUAUUUUCUUCUGGAUAUAUGAGUAGAAUUCGUCCUUUAUGUGUUUUUGUCUUUUAUGCUAACCCUGGUCCUACAUCAUAUAUGCUCACUAGCCUGACUUCUUUUCCCUGCAGAGAGGCUGAGAGGCAGAGGCAGGGGUGAGAAAGCAUUUGGAAGAGGGGCUGAUACUGGCAGAAGACCACUUCAUAAAUUUUACUUCACAAUUUGGUCUUUUUAUUUCUGUUUUCAUUUAAAAAGGUAAGCUUUAUUUCCCUUGGAAGUUUGAACCCCAGAAGUUGUGAGGAGACAUAGUAUGCCAUAAUAUUAAUAAUAUCCAUAAUAUUGAAAUGGGCAUUAUUAUUUGUUUGGGGUGUUUGUUUGUUGGUUUCAACUUCCUAAAGCUGUCUUUAACAUAUUUUUAUUUAACAAAACUAAGCCUAAUGAAGGCAUCUGUCACAGCUCCGAGUGCAUUGAUCAGCCUUAACUACGCCUUAGUAGUCCCUGACCAGCCUCACCUGGACCAGGGUUGGUCUCCAAAGUCAGGAAGUGGGGAGUACAGUCUUCAAGGCAGUGAAUCUGAAAGUGGCAGUCCAAAGAUGACCAAGAAAAACAGGUGGAAGCCUUCCUUCAGACCUGGAGCUGCAGCAGGAGAUGGCUCCAUGCUGUCCUCCCCUGACUGCUUGUCG